rnacentral:rRNA from 1 species
CAGUCGCCGCGGUAAUACGAGGGGGGCAAGCGUUGUUCGGAAUUAUUGGGCGUAAAGGGUGCGUAGGCGGUUUGGCAAGUUUGGUGUGAAAUCUUCGGGCUCAACUCGAAGUCUGCAUCGAAAACUGCCGGGCUUGAGUAUGGGAGAGGUGAGUGGAAUUUCCGGUGUAGCGGUGAAAUGCGUAGAGAUCUGGAGGAAUACCGAUGGCGAAGGCAGCCAUCUGGCCUAAUACUGACGCUGAGGUACGAAAGCAUGGGGAGCAAACAGGAUUAGAGACCCCUGUAGUCCCUGUCUCUUAUAC